ACUUCAUAUGUACUUUCAAGGGUGGGUAGUUACCCUAAAGGAAACAAUCAAUAAGUUCCAUGUCCUUAUCCACAAGAUGAACUCAAAAUAAUUUCACAGCUCAAUGUAGAAGAGCACUGAUCAGGACCAGAAGAUCUGGAGUGGAGAGAUGAAUUUUUUUUGUAUGGAAUUCUUCUGAUUUGAAGGGAUCUGCACAUUUGUGGAAGCAAUAUGCAUGCUUUUAAAGCCUCAUCAUACAAGAGAGAACUUGUCCCCUUCUCCUGAUUUGAAUGGAAUUGAGCUUUAGAAGAACAGGUUCGUGCACAGCCUGGAAAUCUUAAAACAGAAUGAAAGGGGAGCUUUGGUCAUUCCACCAAAGUUUGGCUGCAGAGGCCCUGCUGGGGAAGAGGACAGACAGCAAGAGAGAGGAUUUGAACUCACCUAAGGGCUUACUGAGUUGAGGUGCAUUUUGUGGAGAGCCUUCUUUAUUUGUGGAUUACACCCUUGGAGACAUCACGGUGACUAUGUUCUAUAGGGCACAGCAAAACUCAACAUGACCCUUGGAAUUCAGAGUUCAAGGUCUUGGUUCUUAAAUCAGUUUUCUGUUGGAAAUGAUUGCUGUGCCAUUGGAUGCAAGAGGGUCAUGGAAGCCAGCAGAGGUGGCCAUUGAAAACACUGCUGCUUUGGUUUGAAUUCUCUGUGAACUCAUUUCAUCUGAGCCUUAGUUUUAAUUUAUUCAUGGACAUGACUGUAUACGAUGAAUUCCAGGAGUAUGGAUAUCUGUGUUCACACAGAUAUGUGAAAUCUAACUUUAAAGUCCAGCUCUAAGAGGUUGAGAAAGUUACUCAACUUCCCUCUCUGUGUUAGUCUCCUUACCUGAGGAAUUAUAAAGCUUGGCCAACACGGUAAUGAGGAUUUAAGGCGAUAAUGAGUGUAAAUCACUUAGCACGGGGCUCAGCACACAGUAAGGGUCUAAUAAGGUGAUGGUUUUCAACCUUAAAAUUUUAUCAGAAACACCUGUGGAACUUCAAAAAUGACAGUUUUUUGGCUCCCACUUCAAACCUAUCAAAUCUUCAUGCUUGUGGGCAAUAUCAAUGUGAAGCCUAGGUGAAAACCACUGUAAUCAAGAUCUGAUGUGUUUAUUGUUUGUUAUUAUCAGUUGCUAUUGUUUAAAUAGCUUCAAAGUCUUUAUCUGAUGUCAUAGUCAGACCUGUAUUUGGCUUAUAACGAUGCCUUAAGAGCUGGACUUGAAUUGUGCUAUAAAAUUCUAUGAAUUAAAGCUAUAUUGCAAUCAUUAUGUGUUUGUGCAUGUGUGUAAAAGCAUAGCCUACAUGAGUGGAAAUGGCUGGCCUUAUAUGAAAACUGAAUUUAAGAAACAUUGUCCAUGUUGUAGAAUGUGGUCAAACCAUAAGUGAGCUAAACCCAACCAUCUAUUAACAAAUGAAAAUAAAACAUUUAUUAUAUUG